rnacentral:rRNA from 1 species
GUGGCAGCCGCCGCGGUAAUACGAAGGGACCUAGCGUAGUUCGGAAUUACUGGGCUUAAAGAGCUCGUAGGUGGUUAGAAAAGUUGGUGGUGAAAUCCCAAGGCUUAACCUUGGAACUGCCGCCAAAACUUUUUGACUAGAGUAUGAUAGAGGAAAGUAGAAUUUCUAGUGUAGAGGUGAAAUUCGUAGAUAUUAGAAAGAAUACCAAUUGCGAAGGCAGCUUUCUGGAUCAUUACUGACACUGAGGAGCGAAAGCAUGGGUAGCGAAGAGGAUUAGAUACCCUCGUAGUCCAUGCCGUAAACGAUGUGUGCUAGACGUUGGAAAUUUAAUUUUCAGUGUCGCAGCAAAAGCGUUAAGCACACCGCCUGGGGAGUACGACCGCAAGGUUAAAACUCAAAUGAAUUGACGGGGACCCGCACAAGCAGUGGAGCAUGUGGUUUAAUUCGAAGAUACGCGCAGAACCUUACCAACACUUGACAUGUUCGUCGCGACUUUAAGAGAUUAAAGUCUUCGGUUCGGCCGGACGAAACACAGGUGCUGCAUGGCUGUCGUCAGCUCGUGUCGUGAGAUGUUGGGUUAAGUCCCGCAACGAGCGCAACCCUUACUUUUAGUUGCCACCAUUUAGUUGAGCACUCUGAAAGAACUGCCAGUGAUAAGCUGGAGGAAGGUGGGGAUUACGUCAAGUCCUCAUGGCCCUUACGUGUUGGGCUACACACGUGCUACAAUGGCACUCACAAUAGGAAGCAAAGAUGUGAGUCUAAGCAAAUCCUAAAAAAGUGCCUCAGUUCGGAUUGUACUCUGCAACUCGAGUACAUGAAGUUGGAAUUGCUAGUAAUCGCGGAUCAGCGCGCCGCGGUGAAUACGUUCCCGGGUCUUGCACACACCGCCCGUC